rnacentral:rRNA from 1 species
AACGAACGCUGGCGGCAUGCCUAACACAUGCAAGUCGAACGAGACCUUCGGGUCUAGUGGCGCACGGGUGCGUAACGCGUGGGAACCUGCCCUUAGGUUCGGAAUAACUCCCCGAAAGGGGUGCUAAUACCGGAUAAUGUCUUCGGACCAAAGAUUUAUCGCCUUUGGAUGGGCCCGCGUUUGAUUAGCUAGUUGGUAGGGGAAAAGCCUACCAAGGCGACGAUCCAUAGCUGGUCUGAGAGGAUGAUCAGCCACACUGGGACUGAGACACGGCCCAGACUCCUACGGGAGGGAGGAGUGGGGAAUAUUGGACAAUGGGGGAAAGCCUGAUCCAGCAAUGCCGGGUGAGUGGUGAAGGCCUUAGGGUUGUAAAGCUCUUUUACCCGGGAUGAUAAUGACAGUACCGGGAGAAUAAGCUCCGGCUAACUCCGUG